UACGAAGGGGGCUAGCGUUGUUCGGAAUUACUGGGCGUAAAGCGCACGUAGGCGGAUUGUUAAGUCGGGGGUGAAAUCCUGAGGCUCAACCUCAGAACUGCCUUCGAUACUGGCAAUCUCGAGUCCGGAAGAAGGUUGGUGGAACAGCUAGUGUAGAGGUGAAAUUCGUAGAUAUUAGCUAGAACACCAGUGGCGAAGGCGGCCAACUGGUCCGGUACUGACGCUGAGGUGCGAAAGCCAGGGGAGCG
rnacentral:rRNA from 1 species